CAGUUUCUCCCAGAUGCUGUCUUUCUCACCACUAGUGCCAUUAAUCAAAGAUGUGACGCACAUAUCUCUGCACAAAACUGGAAAUGAGUCAGCCACUAUAGAUCUAUGUGACUUCUUGCAGAUGCUCAGGCACCACUGAGUCGUGACUUGAGCAACCAACAGCUUCAAAGCUGCAUAGUAUUUGAAGUAUUCUUUCCCAGAAAAAAAUCUGCAGGAAUCUUGUUCCUAGUUUAGUUCUAUUACAUAACACAAUGUGCUGGGUGCCACAGAUCUGUGCUGCACAUAGGUACUGCAAGGGUGGAACUAUGAAUAUGUGAUUUUUCCCUUUCCUUUUCCAAAUAUUUCCAGCUGAGAGAAUCAUAUAUGUAUGUUUUAUACAUCUCUGACCAUGAGCAUUUCAAGCUUUCAUUGACCUGAAUCUCACUGUGGAUCUAAGAAAUUCUUCUGAAUUGAGUCCCUGAAAAGUCAGGGAUCAUUGCAAGAAAUAUUUCUGAACCAAGAUGGGAAUAGAAAUCAGAGAACAGUGGUAAGAUAUGUUGACCACAACUACAUUAAGAAAGCUGACGCAGUCCUGAAUUAAUUUUGUAGACAAGCACACUUGUAACCAUGGAAGGGACAUCCUCCUAAUGUCUUAAAACCCUAAAAUUGAUUCAAAGUCAAAGACUCUGCCUGGAAAGGGAAAUGAGCUAUUAUCAGACCUGGUGCACCCAACGUACACUCAAAGCCUAUUCCUGCUAAGUUGUCUUGCAGGAAUAACUGAGAUCAUGGGGAGCACCAGAAGAGUCUACAUGAAAGGCCAUGUGGAGGAUUAAAACAGUGCCAAGAGGAGUACUGGCAGCUUCUCUUCUUAUUCACUGCUGUGUUGAAUUCCUGUUGGUUGAGAAAUAAAAUCUUACUACUGUGUACAAA